rnacentral:rRNA from 1 species
GAACGAGAAAGUGGAGCAAUCCAUGAGUACAGUGGCGUACGGGUGAGUAACACGUGGAUCAUCUACCCUCUAGUGGGGAAUACCGCUGGGAAACCGGCGACAAUACCGCAUAAGCUCGAGAGAGGAAAGCAGCAAUGCGCUGGAGGAGGAGUCCGCGGUCGAUUAGUUAGUUGGCGGGGUAAAGGCCCACCAAGACUGUGAUCGAUAGCCGGCCUGAGAGGGCACACGGCCACACUGGCACUGAAACACGGGCCAGACUCCUACGGGAGGCAGCAGUGGGGAAUCUUGCACAAUGGGGGAAACCCUGAUGCAGCGACGCCGCGUGAGCGAUGAAGCCCCUCGGGGUGUAAAGCUCUUUCGGCAGGGAAGAUUAUGACGGUACCUGCAAAAGCAGCUGCGGCUAACUACGUG